UAGGGGGCAAGCGUUAUCCGGAUUUACUGGGUGUAAAGGGAGCGUAGACGGAAGUGCAAGUCUGAUGUGAAAGGCGGGGGCUCAACCCCUGGACUGCAUUGGAAACUGUACUUCUGGAGUGCCGGAGAGGUAAGCGGAAUUCCUAGUGUAGCGGUGAAAUGCGUAGAUAUUAGGAGGAACACCAGUGGCGAAGGCGACUUACUGGACUGUAACUGACGUUGAGGCACGAAAGUGUGGGGAGCAA
rnacentral:rRNA from 1 species